rnacentral:rRNA from 1 species
AGCAGCCGCGGUAAUUCCAGCUCCAAUAGCGUAUAUUAAAGUUGUUGCAGUUAAAAAGCUCGUAGUUGAAUUUCGGGAUCAAUAUAUCGGUCGUGCCAUUGGUACGUACUGGUAUCAUUGGUUUCUCCUUUCUGACGAACCAUGAUGUCAUUAAUUUGGUGUUAUGGGAAGUUAGGACUGUUACUUUGAAAAAUUAGAGUGUUUAAAGCAGGCUUUAGCUUGAAUACAUUAGCAUGGAAUAAUGAAAUAGGACGUUCGAACCUAUUUUGUUGGUUUCUAGGAUCAACGUAAUGAUUAAUAGGGAUAGUUGGGGGCAUUAGUAUUCAAUUGUCAGAGGUGAAAUUCUUGGAUUUAUUGAAGACUAACUACUGCGAAAGCAUUUGCCAAGGAUGUUUUCAUUAAUCAAGAACGAAAGUUAGGGGAUCGAAGACGAUCAGAUACCGUCGUAGUCUUAACC